CACGCCCUAAACGAUGAUUACUCGACAUUGGCGAUAUACCGAUCAGUGUCCUAGCGAAAGCGUUAAGUAAUCCACCUGGGGAGUACGCCCGCAAGGGUGAAACUCAAAGGAAUUGACGGGGGUCCGCACAAGCGGAGGAGCAUGUGGUUUAAUUCGAUGAUACGCGAGGAACCUUACCUGGGCUAGAAUGUGAGUGACGUUUACUGAAAGGUAAAUUUCUAGCAAUAGACACGAAACAAGGUGC
rnacentral:rRNA from 2 species